rfam:Ixodes scapularis strain Wikel colony gcontig_1108378381422, whole genome shotgun sequence.
UCGUGAUUAGUUCAGUUGGUAGAGCGCUUCACUGGAAAUGAAAGCUCCCUGUUUCGAUACCAGGACCAGGAG